UAAUACAGAGGUCCCGAGCGUUGUUCGGAUUCACUGGGCGUAAAGGGUGCGUAGGUGGCUUGAAAAGUUUGAUGUGAAAGCUCAGGGCUUAACCCUGAAAUGGCAUUGAAUACUGUCGAGCUGGAGGUUUGGAGGGGGGACUGGAAUUCUUGGUGUAGCAGUGAAAUGCGUAGAUAUCAAGAGGAACACCAGUGGCGAAGGCGAGUCCCUGGACAACACCUGACACUGAGGCACGAAAGCUAGGGGAGCAAACAGGAUUAGAUACCCUGGUAGUCCUAGCCCUAAACGGUGCACGUUUGCUGUAAAAGGAAUCGACCCCUUUUGUGGCGAAGCUAACGCGAUAAACGUGCCGCCUGGGGAGUACGGUCGCAAGAUUA
rnacentral:rRNA from 1 species